rnacentral:rRNA from 1 species
UACGGAGGGUGCGAGCGUUGUCCGGAAUCAUUGGGCGUAAAGGGCGCGUAGGUGGCCCGGUCAGUCCGUGGUGAAAGCGCGGGGCUCAACCCCGCGUCGGCCAUGGAUACUGCUGGGCUGGAGCACUGUAGAGGCAGGCGGAAUUCCGGGUGUAGCGGUGGAAUGCGUAGAGAUCCGGAAGAACACCGGUGGCGAAGGCGGCCUGCUGGGCAGUUUUGCUGACACUGAGGCGCGACAGCGUGGGGAGCAAACAGG